UACGUAGGGUGCGAGCGUUAAUCGGAAUUACUGGGCGUAAAGCGUGCGCAGGCGGUUUUGUAAGCCAGAUGUGAAAGCCCCGGGCUUAACCUGGGAAUGGCAUUUGGGACUGCAAGGCUAGAGUGCGGCAGAGGAGACUGGAAUUCCUGGUGUAGCAGUGAAAUGCGUAGAUAUCAGGAGGAAUACCGAUGGCGAAGGCAGCCCCCUGGGAUAACACUGACGCUCAUGCACGAAAGCGUGGGGAGCAAACAGGAUUAGAAACCCUGGUAGU
rnacentral:rRNA from 1 species